rnacentral:rRNA from 1 species
GAUGAACGCUGGCGGCGUGCCUAAUACAUGCAAGUCGAGCGAACAGACGAGGAGCUUGCUCCUCUGACGUUAGCGGCGGACGGGUGAGUAACACGUGGAUAACCUACCUAUAAGACUGGGAUAACUUCGGGAAACCGGAGCUAAUACCGGAUAAUAUAUUGAACCGCAUGGUUCCAUAGUGAAAGACGGUUUUGCUGUCACUUAUAGAUUGAUCCGCGCCGCAUUAGCUAGUUGGUAAGGUAACGGCUUACCAAGGCAACGAUGCGUAGCCGACCUGAGAGGGUGAUCGGCCACACUGGAACUGAGACACGGUCCAGACUCCUACGGGAGGCAGCAGUAGGGAAUCUUCCGCAAAGGGCGAAAGCCUGACGGAGCAACGCCGCGUGAGUGAUGAAGGUCUUCGGAUCGUAAAACUCUGUUAUUAGGGAAGAACAAAUGUGUAAGUAACUAUGCACGUCUUGACGGUACCUAAUCAGAAAGCCACGGCUAACUACGUG